CCCUGCGCACUGAUAAAGAGACGUCAGUGACCCGGCGCGAGCGACGAAACAAGAUCACGGUGUCUGAACCUGGCGACGGGACGAGUCGUGAACCAGUUGUGAACCUGACGACGGGACGAGUCGUGAACCAGUCGUGAACCUGGCGACGGGACGAGUCGUGAACCAGUUGUGAACCUGGCGACGGGACGAGUCGUGAACCAGUCGUGAACCUGGCGACGGGACGAGUCGUGAACCAGUCGUGAACCUGGCGACGGGACGAGUCGUGAACCAGUCGUGAACCUGACGACGGGACGAGUCGUGAACCAGUCGUGAACCUGGCGACGGGACGAGUCGUGAACCAGUCGUGAACCUGGCGACGGGACGAGUCGUGAACCAGUCGUGAACCUGGCGACGGGACGAGUCGUGAACCAGUCGUGAACCUGGCGACGGGACGAGUCGUGAACCAGUCGUGAACCUGGCGACGGGACGAGUCGUGAACCAGUCGUGAACCUGGCGACGGGACGAGUCGUGAACCAGUUGUGAACCUGGCGACGGGACGAGUUUCUGACGACGCCACGAACAAACAUUUGAGAUGAGCAGGUGAACCACGUGGUCCUGACGAGGAGCCUCGCGGGGACGCGCACAGCUGAAGAGCGCAGAGGCAAAACUUCACCGCCAGAGAUAUUCAGGUGGAAGUGGAUGGACGACGUGACACGGACUUGGCGACUGCCUGGAUCUUCACCUGGACGUCUUGAUGGACGGUCCCCUGCCUGCUUCCUGUGUUGAUGUGGAUCCCUGCUGAGAACCUGUCACAGCUCAAGAAGAGAAUACGUCACUGCAAGAAAUAUUAAGGAAGAAUUUAAUCAUAAACAGACAGUUUGUAUGAAAAUCACAAUACAGUUAUGGUGUUAAAUAUUUGUCUUUGUCUGUCAGCAGGAUGAAAAGCUCCUGAUCAAGAGGAUCUGGAGAAAGGGGCGGAGCCAGGGAUGUUAAGUUUCUUUCUUUAACAUUUUUUUAACAUGAUGAUUCACAGAAUAAUUCAUGGAUCUAGAUGAAUGAGACCAAACAAUAAAACAUGGUCAAAGAAUUUGGUAAAAAUAUUUUUGUUCAUUUCAAAGUUAAAUCCAUCAAUGUGGUGAACUUUAGGAGGCUCGAUCUAUAGUUGGUAAAGAUAUGAAUGAUGAUUACCACCGUUAAUAUCCUAACAUCCAGCGUGUUGUAUGGACAAAAAAGGAGCUCCUUAAGAAAAUAUCAUUCUUAACAUAAAAACAAACAGUCGGUGUGUUGGUUGGUCUGUAGGUGGGUGAGUCUUUAUCUGUCGGUCAGUUGAUCCGUCGGUCUGUUGGUCGAUACGUUUAUCGGUCGGUCUGUUGGUUGAUACGUUUAUCUGUCGGUCAGUUGAUCUGUUGGUUGAUCUGUUGGUUGAUACGUUUAUCUGUCGGUUGAUCUGUUGGUUUAUACGUUUAUCUGUCGGUUGAUCUGUUGGUUGAUACGUUGAUCUGUUGGUUGAUACGUUGAUCUGUUGGUUGAUACGUUGAUCUGUUGGUUGAUACGUUUAUCUGUCGGUCAGUUGGUCGAUACGUUGGUCGGUCGGUCUGUCGGUCGAUACGUCUGUUGAUCCGUCGGUUGCUUGGUUGGUCUGUUUUGUUGAUCGGUCUUGUCGGAGUUCCGGUAGUUUCUGGACUGGAGGUUUUUCCUCCUGCAGUUAAACCAUCACACUGACACAGAUUUAUUGAUUUUAAGUGAGUUGGAUCAAACAGAACAAAAAAUCUCCAAAGAAUUAAAUCACUGAACAUAAAUUACAUCCACAAUCUGACCCAUAACAAAAUGAGAUUACAGUGCGACUGAAGGAAAGGUUGACCUCUGUUACCUACAUUUUUAUUAGUUACUGCUCUACCUGUGCGUGUCAAUAACUCGUUCUUCUCUCUUCCUUCGAGGUAAAUGUUGAACUGUGUGGACGACGUGACACGGACGGUCCCCUGCCUUCUGUCUGUACUUUACUCUCUGGUUAGAUUACAGAAUGAGCACAGAGGAAGUGACAUCAAUCUUUCGCUAAAGGAAUCCCAUUUGUCUCUGUGAUCAUCAGGUGUUGAUGUGGAUCCCUGCUGAGAACACUUUACUCAGGAUGAAAAGCUCCUGAACAGAUUUCCAGAACAUGGAGCAAGAGAGGAUCUGGACAAAGGGGCGGAGCCAGGGAUGGCUUGUGGUGGCUGCAGAGUCUCACUACAUCACCUCCCACAUGUUAGACAUCAAGUUACUGUGCAUUAUAUAUGUUUACCUACUGGGGAGAUGGUUACUACAUUUUAACACAGCAGGGAAUUGAUAAGAAUUUUGAUCUGUUACUUCUCAAUAACUCGUCUUUUUCUCUUCCUAUGAAACUGAAGUGGAUGUGACACUGGCUCACCUGGACCUUUGCCGGGGCCUGGAGACAUGCUUCCUGUCUGUGAUCAUUCUGUAAUCUGACAUCAUAGAGCUAAAGGAAUCCCAUUUGUCUCUGUGAUCGUCAGGUGUUGAUGUGGAUCCCUGCUGAGAACCAGUCACAGCUCAAGAAGAGAAUACUUCACUGCAAGAAAUAUUAAGGCAAAGUAUUUAAUCAUAAACAGACAGUUUGUAUGGAAAUCGCAAUACAGAUUUGUCUUUGUCUGUCAGCAGGAUGAAAAGCUCCUGAAGGAGGAUCUGGACAAAGGGGCGGAGCCGGGGAUCGGUAGUUUCGUUUUUAACAUGUUGACGACUCACAGAAUAAUUCAUGGAUCUAGAUGAAUGAUACCAAACAAUACAUUGAAAUGGGAAAAAAAAAUAAUAAUCUUAACUCUUUGACAAAGUUAAAUCCAUCAAUGUGGUGAACUUUAGGAGGCUCGAUCUAUAGUUUGUAAGACAUGAAUGAUGAUAUCCUAACAUCCAGUGUGUUGUAUGGACAAAUGGGGGAAAGUAGCUUCUUAGGAAAAUAUCGUUUUUAACAUAGAACAUUUAAACUACAAUGAACAGAAAUGGUCUGUUAUUGUUUUUGUCAGUCGGUGUGUUGGUCUGUCGGUUUGUUUCCAUUGGUCUGUCGCUCUGUUUCCAUUGGUCUGUCGCUCUGUCCGUUUAUCUGUGGGAUGGUGGGUUGGUCCGUUUAUCUGUCGGUCUGUUGGAUGGUCGGUUGGUUUGUUUAUCCGUCGGUCAGUUGGAUGGUCGGUUGGUUUGUUUAUCCGUCGGUCAGUUUAUCCGUCGGUCUGUUGGAUGGUCGGUUCGUUUAUCUGUCGGUCUGUUGGAUGGUCGGUUGGUUUGUUUAUCCGUCGGUCGGUUCGUUUAUCUGUCAGUCUGUUGAAUGGUCGGUCGGUUCGUUUAUCUGUCAGUCUGUUGAAUGGUCGGUCGGUUCGUUUAUCUGUCGGUCUGUUGGAUGGUCGGUCGGUUCGUUUAUCUGUCGGUCUGUUGGAUGGUCGGUUGGUUCGUUUGUCUGUUGGAUGGUCGGUUGGUUCGUUUAUCUGUCGGUCUGUUGGAUGGUCGGUCGGUUCGUUUAUCUGUCGGUCUGUUGGAUGGUCGGUUGGUUCGUUUGUCUGUUGGAUGGUCGGUUGGUUCGUUUGUCUGUUGGAUGGUCGGUUGGUUCGUUUGUCUGUUGGAUGGUCGGUUGGUUCGUUUAUCUUUUGGUGUGUUGUCGGAGUUCCUGGACUGGAGGCUUCUCCUGCAGUUAAACCAUCACACUGACACAGAUUUAGUGAGUUCGAUCAAACCAGAAAAAAAAAAUCUCCAAAGAAUUGAAUCACAGAACUUAAAUCCAUAGUGUGGUUGAGCUACAGUUAAUUACAGUAACACACUGGAUGUAAGGAUAUUAAUGGUUUUGAUAAACAUUCAUAUCGUAUAACCUAUUUAAUAAUGGUUACUACAUUGUAACAUCAUUUUUCCUCCUCAAUAACUUGUAUUUUCGGUCUUCUAUCGAUGAAACUGUUGAAGUGGAUGAUUGGUCUCGGUGAUGUCGACCUGCCUGGACCUUCACCUGAUGGCCUGACGGGACUGGUUCUUUAUGAUCAUCAGGCGUUUAUGUGGAUCCCCGACGAGGAGUUGUCACGGGAACGCACACAGCUGAAGAAGAGAAUACUUCACUGCAAAAUAUAUGUACAUCUCAAUAAGUCGUCUCUCUUCCAUUGAGGUUCUUCACCUUGACAAAGACCUGCACUCCAACAGGAAGACAUGAUGUGGGACGUGUUUGUGCUUAUUCUUGUAACUCUAAUAAAGCUGAGAGGAAGCAGUAGAGAUGAACUGUGAGACCGUGUAAGUCGACUGUAGAUUGUCCCUUAUAUAAACAUGUACGGAAUGUAUUUGUUACUCCUGUUGAGACAUUCCACUAAAGUGACGUCAUUUCAUUUCACUAAAUCAA